rnacentral:tRNA from 1 species
UCUCAGAUAGCUCAGUCAGUAGAGCAUGAGGCUCUUAAUCUCAGGGCCAUGGGUUCAAACCCCACCUUGGGCA